AAUUAUAUAAAUUGCAAUUUUUUAAUCCUCGUGUAUAAGGAACCUCAUAAUUUUGGGGGCUUAUAAUAUGGAAAAAAUGUUUUGUAAGGUAUUAUAAUACUAUCCAUAUAGAAGAAACUCCCAUA